GACAGAGUAGUGUAAUGGUUUGAACUAUGUAGUGGUUUAGACUAUGACUUUGGAGACCUGGGUUCGAAUCCCGGUUCGGCCA